UACGUAGGGGGCAAGCGUUGUCCGGAUUUAUUGGGCGUAAAGAGCUCGUAGGUGGUUCGGUAAGUCGGAUGUGAAAUCUCCAGGCUCAACCUGGAGGGGUCAUUCGAUACUGCCGUGACUAGAGUUCGGUAGGGGAGUGUGGAAUUCCUGGUGGAGCGGUGAAAUGCGCAGAUAUCAGGAGGAACACCGGUGGCGAAGGCGGUUCUCUGGGCCUUACCUGACACUGAGGAGCGAAAGCGUGGGGAGCGAACAGG
rnacentral:rRNA from 1 species